rnacentral:rRNA from 1 species
CUUCACGCAUGCUACAAUGGCCGGUACAAAGGGCUGCGAUACCGUAAGGUGGAGCGAAUCCCAAAAAGCCGGUGUCAGUUCGGAUUGGGGUCUGCAACUCGACCCCAUGAAGUCGGAGUCGCUAGUAAUCGCAGAUCAGCAACGCUGCGGUGAAUACGUUCCCGGGCCUUGUACACACCGCCCGUCAAGUCACGAAAGUCGGUAACACCCGAAGCCCAUGGCCCAACCGUUCGCGGGGGGAGUGGUCGAAGGGGACGCGUU